GGCACUUUUACAUCUCUUGCUUGAACUUAGAAUAUGACAAGAGAUUAGGGACAGUGAGCUAGGUGAACAGGUGGGACUCCUAUGAACAGCAAAUGCUAACUGAUGGGUUCCCUUUAACAGUUCAUGCCAUUCCGACAAACAAUAUGAGGAUGAAUACACAGAACAGGCUUCAAAAGUAUCUGUGAAUACUUGGCUUCAGUUAAUUCCAUUGAGAAUCCGGGGUGGUUCAUCAGUGAGCGUCCUCCGAGCGGGCUGCAAGAGGGACACCAUGGCAAUCGGCUGCUAUCAUCUGUUUGUUCCCAUUCCCUUGAUGGAGCUGAAGGAGAUGCUACAGUGAUCAUCUGCAAUCACUGGCUCGCACACAUCCUCCUCACAACGAUAUUCUUCUCAGUUACAUUUGUAAAAGCAAGUUAUGAAGGCACAGAAAGGAAGAGCCUAGUGAAAUUGCUGAGGGCAAGGGGCAACUAAAUGUACAUGAAUAUUUAGGUAAGUGUUGCGAGAAUCCACAAAGUAUAUUAAAACACUCAUACUUGCCAGCAGGAUAGAGACCGGGAAAAUCUUGAUUCAGAUUCUCAGCUCAGAUACAAAUAAUACUGGAGAAGC